rnacentral:rRNA from 1 species
UACGGAGGAUGCAAGCGUUAUCCGGAAUGAUUGGGCGUAAAGCGUCCGCAGGUGGCUGUGUAAGUCUGCUGUCAAAGAGCGAAGCUCAACUUCGUAAAGGCAGUGGAAACUACACGGCUAGAGUGCGUUCGGGGCAGAGGGAAUUCCUGGUGUAGCGGUGAAAUGCGUAGAGAUCAGGAAGAACACCGGUGGCGAAGGCGACUUCCUGGCCUGUUCUUGACGCUGAGGCGCGAAAGCUAGGGGAGCAAACGGG